UUGAACGCUGGCGGCAGGCCUAACACAUGCAAGUCGAGCGGAUGAAGGGAGCUUGCUCCUGGAUUCAGCGGCGGACGGGUGAGUAAUGCCUAGGAAUCUGCCUGGUAGUGGGGGAUAACGUCCGGAAACGGGCGCUAAUACCGCAUACGUCCUGAGGGAGAAAGUGGGGGAUCUUCGGACCUCACGCUAUCAGAUGAGCCUAGGUCGGAUUAGCUAGUUGGUGGGGUAAAGGCCUACCAAGGCGACGAUCCGUAACUGGUCUGAGAGGAUGAUCAGUCACACUGGAACUGAUACACGGUCCAGACUCCUACGGGAGGCAGCAGUGGGGAAUAUUGGACAAUGGGCGAAAGCCUGAUCCAGCCAUGCCGCGUGUGUGAAGAAGGUCUUCGGAUUGUAAAGCACUUUAAGUUGGGAGGAAGGGCAGUAAGUUAAUACCUUGCUGUUUUGACGUUACCAACAGAAUAAGCACCGGCUAACUUCGUG
rnacentral:rRNA from 1 species